AGCGUACACGGUGGAUGCCCUGGCAGUCAGAGGCGAUGAAGGACGUGCUAAUCUGCGAUAAGCGUCGGUGAGGUGAUAUGAACCGUUAUAACCGGCGAUUUCCGAAUGGGGAAACCCAGUGUGUUUCGACACACUAUCAUUAACUGAAUCCAUAGGUUAAUGAGGCGAACCGGGGGAACUGAAACAUCUAAGUACCCCGAGGAAAAGAAAUCAACCGAGAUUCCCCCAGUAGCGGCGAGCGAACGGGGAGGAGCCCAGAGCCUGAAUCAGUGUGUGUGUUAGUGGAAGCGUCUGGAAAGGCGCGCGAUACAGGGUGACAGCCCCGUACACAAAAAUGCACAUAUUGUGAGCUCGAUGAGUAGGGCGGGACACGUGGUAUCCUGUCUGAAUAUGGGGGGACCAUCCUCCAAGGCUAAAUACUCCUGACUGACCGAUAGUGAACCAGUACCGUGAGGGAAAGGCGAAAAGAACCCCGGCGAGGGGAGUGAAAAAGAACCUGAAACCGUGUACGUACAAGCAGUGGGAGCCUCUUAAUGGGGUGACUGCGUACCUUUUGUAUAAUGGGUCAGCGACUUAUAUUCUGUAGCAAGGUUAACCGAAUAGGGGAGCCGAAGGGAAACCGAGUCUUAACUGGGCGUUAAGUUGCAGGGUAUAGACCCGAAACCCGGUGAUCUAGCCAUGGGCAGGUUGAAGGUUGGGUAACACUAACUGGAGGACCGAACCGACUAAUGUUGAAAAAUUAGCGGAUGACUUGUGGCUGGGGGUGAAAGGCCAAUCAAACCGGGAGAUAGCUGGUUCUCCCCGAAAGCUAUUUAGGUAGCGCCUCGUGAAUUCAUCUCCGGGGGUAGAGCACUGUUUCGGCAAGGGGGUCAUCCCGACUUACCAACCCGAUGCAAACUGCGAAUACCGGAGAAUGUUAUCACGGGAGACACACGGCGGGUGCUAACGUCCGUCGUGAAGAGGGAAACAACCCAGACCGCCAGCUAAGGUCCCAAAGUCAUGGUUAAGUGGGAAACGAUGUGGGAAGGCCCAGACAGCCAGGAUGUUGGCUUAGAAGCAGCCAUCAUUUAAAGAAAGCGUAAUAGCUCACUGGUCGAGUCGGCCUGCGCGGAAGAUGUAACGGGGCUAAACCAUGCACCGAAGCUGCGGCAGCGACACUAUGUGUUGUUGGGUAGGGGAGCGUUCUGUAAGCCUGUGAAGGUGGCCUGUGAGGGUUGCUGGAGGUAUCAGAAGUGCGAAUGCUGACAUAAGUAACGAUAAAGCGGGUGAAAAGCCCGCUCGCCGGAAGACCAAGGGUUCCUGUCCAACGUUAAUCGGGGCAGGGUGAGUCGACCCCUAAGGCGAGGCCGAAAGGCGUAGUCGAUGGGAAACAGGUUAAUAUUCCUGUACUUGGUGUUACUGCGAAGGGGGGACGGAGAAGGCUAUGUUGGCCGGGCGACGGUUGUCCCGGUUUAAGCGUGUAGGCUGGUUUUCCAGGCAAAUCCGGAAAACCAAGGCUGAGGCGUGAUGACGAGGCACUACGGUGCUGAAGCGACAAAUGCCCUGCUUCCAGGAAAAGCCUCUAAGCAUCAGGUAACAUCAAAUCGUACCCCAAACCGACACAGGUGGUCAGGUAGAGAAUACCAAGGCGCUUGAGAGAACUCGGGUGAAGGAACUAGGCAAAAUGGUGCCGUAACUUCGGGAGAAGGCACGCUGAUAUGUAGGUGAAGCGACUUGCUCGUGGAGCUGAAAUCAGUCGAAGAUACCAGCUGGCUGCAACUGUUUAUUAAAAACACAGCACUGUGCAAACACGAAAGUGGACGUAUACGGUGUGACGCCUGCCCGGUGCCGGAAGGUUAAUUGAUGGGGUUAGCGGCAACGCGAAGCUCUUGAUCGAAGCCCCGGUAAACGGCGGCCGUAACUAUAACGGUCCUAAGGUAGCGAAAUUCCUUGUCGGGUAAGUUCCGACCUGCACGAAUGGCGUAAUGAUGGCCAGGCUGUCUCCACCCGAGACUCAGUGAAAUUGAACUCGCUGUGAAGAUGCAGUGUACCCGCGGCAAGACGGAAAGACCCCGUGAACCUUUACUAUAGCUUGACACUGAACAUUGAGCCUUGAUGUGUAGGAUAGGUGGGAGGCUUUGAAGUGUGGACGCCAGUCUGCAUGGAGCCGACCUUGAAAUACCACCCUUUAAUGUUUGAUGUUCUAACGUUGGCCCGUAAUCCGGGUUGCGGACAGUGUCUGGUGGGUAGUUUGACUGGGGCGGUCUCCUCCUAAAGAGUAACGGAGGAGCACGAAGGUUGGCUAAUCCUGGUCGGACAUCAGGAGGUUAGUGCAAUGGCAUAAGCCAGCUUGACUGCGAGCGUGACGGCGCGAGCAGGUGCGAAAGCAGGUCAUAGUGAUCCGGUGGUUCUGAAUGGAAGGGCCAUCGCUCAACGGAUAAAAGGUACUCCGGGGAUAACAGGCUGAUACCGCCCAAGAGUUCAUAUCGACGGCGGUGUUUGGCACCUCGAUGUCGGCUCAUCACAUCCUGGGGCUGAAGUAGGUCCCAAGGGUAUGGCUGUUCGCCAUUUAAAGUGGUACGCGAGCUGGGUUUAGAACGUCGUGAGACAGUUCGGUCCCUAUCUGCCGUGGGCGCUGGAGAACUGAGGGGGGCUGCUCCUAGUACGAGAGGACCGGAGUGGACGCAUCACUGGUGUUCGGGUUGUCAUGCCAAUGGCACUGCCCGGUAGCUAAAUGCGGAAGAGAUAAGUGCUGAAAGCAUCUAAGCACGAAACUUGCCCCGAGAUGAGUUCU
rnacentral:rRNA from 2 species